GUGGGGAAUAUUGGGCAAUGGAGGCAACUCUGACCCAGCAACGCCGCGUGAGGGAAGAAGGUUUUCGGAUUGUAAACCUCUGUCCUUGGGGACGAAGAAAGUGACGGUACCCAAGGAGGAAGCCCCGGCUAACUACGUGCCAGCAGCCGCGGUAAUACGUAGGGGGCGAGCGUUGUCCGGAAUUACUGGGCGUAAAGGGUGCGUAGGCGGUGAGAUAAGAUAGAUGUGAAAUCCGCGGGCUUAACUCGGGUAGUGCAUUGGUGACGGUCUUGCUAGAGUGCAGGAGAGGAAAGCGGAAUUCCUAGUGUAGCGGUGAAAUGCGUAGAUAUGAGGAGGAACACCGGUGGCGAAGGCGGCUUUCUGGACUGUAACUGACGCUGAAGCACGAAAGCGUGGGGAGCAAACAGGAUUAGAUACCCUAGUAGUCC
rnacentral:rRNA from 1 species